CUUAAUUUUCUUUACCAUCUCACUCUCCUAUGCAAUUGGCUAAUGAUUACUCAGUUGCUAAAUAAGUUACCUGAAAAAAAAUUGUAUUUAUGGGCAAUGAGAUAAAUAACAACAUUAAAACCAAGAACAUUGCCUUACUAUAUUUUCCAAAUAUUUUGUUUAAAAUGAAAACUAAUCAAAUACUUGAUUUGAUAAUUAUAUGUAUAUAAAUUCUAAUAUCUUCCAAGAUACGUGGGCUUAAUUUUAGUUUUGACUUUGUGAAAAAC
rnacentral:lncRNA from 1 species